rnacentral:sRNA from 1 species
AUUUUUGCAAAAUUUGUGUUGUCUAUUAUAUAUGUGUGAGAUUUGUUUUAGAGAAAGUUUUAUAUAAUUUUAUUAUAUGAUUGUUGUUUUUCUAUAGCCCAUCUUUAAAUUUUUUUUAAAAUAUUUUAUAAAGACUAUUAGAGAUGGCAUGGUGACUUCCCCCGAAUUAGGACGAGAGAAGAUGAACGAAAUUAUUUAUGAGGUAAUAUUUUGUCUCUAAAAUAUUUUAAUAUGCUUUACUUCAAGUUGUUUAACUCAUUUUUUUUAUUUGACUUGUAGGAACCCCAUAAAUCCAAGGGACGUAUUUUGGGUUAGGAAAUUUUUCCUAAAUAUCAUCUUCUUCUCGUUCAUUGGGUUUCUCAUAUGCCCCAUCUUUCGAUUAUCAUCAAGCUAUGGAAGAAAAGAAUGAACGGAUUGCGGUUUUAGAGAAAGAAAUGGAAGAACAGAAAGCAGCAAUGGAAGAACAGAAAGAGGAGAACAUGAGAGGGAUGCAUAGUACAAGAAGAGAGACGAGUAGUUGGCAACGUUCAUGAAUGAGAUGCGCUUAAACUUGCCAUUAUUUAAGGAUUUUCCCUCUUUGUUAUUUAUGGAUUUAAAAUGUUUUUACUAAUAAUUAUGUUGUUCUGAAUUUAAAU